rnacentral:lncRNA from 1 species
GCUGCCUCAGCAGGGAGCACACCCCACCCUGGAGAGGUCAUAUUUCAGGAGUGAUGUGAUUUGUACGCAUAGAGCUGGGGGAUGGGAAGGCAAGAAAAGAGAAAGACCGUGUGUAUAUACAAACCAGGAAUGGGGGCUUCCUUUGUUUCAAAACACUAUAUAGAGACGCAACUGCUGUGAUUGAAGACUUUGUUCAACUGGAAAACAAGAGUCAAGCACUCCAACCAGUGGAUAAGCCUGCCAGUAAGCAAAGAUUUACUCAAGAGUGUGAGGAUGUAAAGGAGUCCUUGGAUGCUGCACGCCUGGCCCAGCUUCCUCUGGCAGUGCUACACUGAAAGCUACUGUCCAACAAAAUGUCAAGUUGACCAAAAGUGUUGAGGAAGAGCCAUUAGAACCAGCAGAAAUUAUCUGUGGGUUGUUCUACCUUUUUUCCCCUGUGCAAGGAUAUUCCUUCUUUCCUUUUAUGAUUGUUAUAUUUCUCCAAUUGACAUAAUAAAAUAAACACAUAUAAAAUAAAGUAAAUAGUUUUCAAAAGGUAAUGCAUGAAAAAUGAAAGGCAAUAUUAUAUACGCGAUAAGG